rnacentral:rRNA from 1 species
GUACGGAAGGCAGCAGUGGGGAAUUUUGCGCAAUGGGCGAAAGCCUGACGCAGCAACGCCGCGUGGAGGAUGAAGGUCUUCGGAUUGUAAACUCCUGUCCUCGGGGACGAAAACAAUGACGGUACCCGGGGAGGAAGCCCCGGCUAACUCCGUGCCGGCAGCCGCGGUAAUACGGGGGGGGCGAGCGUUGUUCGGAAUUACUGGGCGUAAAGGGCGCGUAGGCGGCCUGGGAAGUCUUGGGUGAAAGCCCCCGGCUCAACCGGGGAAGGGCCUGAGAAACCACUGGGCUGGAGUGCUGGAGAGGGAAGCGGAAUUCCUGGUGUAGCGGUGAAAUGCGUAGAGAUCAGGAGGAACAUCGGUGGCGAAGGCGGCUUCCUGGACAGACACUGACGCUGAGGCGCGAAAGCCAGGGGAGCAAACAGGAUUAGAUACCCUUGUAGUCC